AUUGAACGCUGGCGGCAGGCCUAACACAUGCAAGUCGAACGGUAACAGGAAGCAGCUUGCUGCUUUGCUGACGAGUGGCGGACGGGUGAGUAAUGUCUGGGAAACUGCCUGAUGGAGGGGGAUAACUACUGGAAACGGUAGCUAAUACCGCAUAACGUCGCAAGACCAAAGAGGGGGACCUUAGGGCCUCUUGCCAUCGGAUGUGCCCAGAUGGGAUUAGCUAGUAGGUGGGGUAACGGCUCACCUAGGCGACGAUCCCUAGCUGGUCUGAGAGGAUGACCAGCCACACUGGAACUGAGACACGGUCCAGACUCCUACGGGAGGCAGCAGUGGGGAAUAUUGCACAAUGGGCGCAAGCCUGAUGCAGCCAUGCCGCGUGUAUGAAGAAGGCCGUCGGGUUGUAAAGUACUUUCAGCGGGGAGGAAGGGAGUAAAGUUAAUACCUUUGCUCAUUGACGUUACCCGCAGAAGAAGCACCGGCUAACUCCG
rnacentral:rRNA from 1 species